AUGAACGCUGGCGGCGUGCUUCACACCUGCAAGUCGAACGGAAAGGCCCAAGCUUGCUUGGGUACUCGAGUGGCGAACGGGUGAGUAACACGUGGGUGAUCUGCCCUGCACUUCGGGAUAAGCCUGGGAAACUGGGUCUAAUACCGGAUAGGACGAUGGUUUGGAUGCCAUUGUGGAAAGUUUUUUCGGUGUGGGAUGAGCUCGCGGCCUAUCAGCUUGUUGGUGGGGUAAUGGCCUACCAAGGCGUCGACGGGUAGCCGGCCUGAGAGGGUGUACGGCCACAUUGGGACUGAGAUACGGCCCAGACUCCUACGGGAGGCAGCAGUGGGGAAUAUUGCACAAUGGGCGCAAGCCUGAUGCAGCGACGCCGCGUGGGGGAUGACGGCCUUCGGGUUGUAAACUCCUUUCGCUAGGGACGAAGCGUUUUGUGACGGUACCUGGAGAAGAAGCACCGGCUAACUACGUG
rnacentral:rRNA from 1 species